AGUGAACGCUGGCGGUAGGCCUAACACAUGCAAGUCGAACGGCAGCACAGUAAGAGCUUGCUCUUACGGGUGGCGAGUGGCGGACGGGUGAGGAAUACUUCGGAAUCUACUUUUUCGUGGGGGAUAACGUAGGGAAGCUUACGCUAAUACAGCAUACGACCUACGGGUGAAAGCAGGGGAUCUUCGGACCUUGCGCGAUUGAAUGAGCCGAUGUCGGAUUAGCUAGUUGGCGGGGUAAAGGCCCACCAAGGCGACGAUCCGUAGCUGGUCUGAGAGGAUGAUCAGCCACACUGUAACUGAGACACGGUCCAGACUCCGACAGGAGGCAACAGUGGGGAAUAUUGGACAAUGGGCGCAAGCCUGAUCCAGCCAUACCGCGUGGGUGAAGAAGGCCUUCGGGUUGUAAAGCCAUUUUGUUGGGAAAGAAAAGCAGCAGGUUAAUACCCCGCUGUUCUGACGGUACCCAAAGAAUAAGCACCGGCUAACUUCGUG
rnacentral:rRNA from 1 species